rnacentral:rRNA from 1 species
ACCGUGAGGGAAAGUUGCAAAGAACUUUGAAGAGAGAGUUCAAGAGGGCGUGAAACCGCUGGGAAGGAAACGGAUAGAGUUGACGAAACACGGCGGCAUUCACCCGACCAUCUCUACGGAUGUCUUUGCUGUUAGCUGUUCCACUCGUGGAAUGGCAACGGCGAAGGUGGGACCGUAGGUUGGUUGGUGUAUUUGCCGUCGGUAUGCGCCGAGAAGUUCGCUGUGGUUCGCUAAUGCUGCCUAAAGAGGACCAUGCUCGAAUGAGUGUGGAAACCUUUAGCGGUUGAGGCGUAUCCGUGGUGAAUCUGCAUCGCAAGGCAGCGCCCGUUAUGGUGCAUUGGCUGUUGCGUGAUUGAUGUGGCUAUUGGGCGGUCGCGGAUGCGACUUGCCUAUAGUUGGCGUUGGUCCGUAGCAGCUUUUGCGCUGGCGUGAAACUCGGUGUAAAAGUCGACCACCUAUCCGACCCGUCUUGAAACACGGACCAAGGAGUUUAGCAUAUGCGCAAGUCAUUGGGUGGUAAACCCAAAGGCGUAAUGAAAGUAAAGACCGCUUUUAGCGGUUGAUAUGGGAUCCGCAGAGUUUAACGACAAUGCGGCGCACCAUAGCCCCGUCCCUGUUGCUUGCAAUGGGGCGGAGGUAGAGCGCAUACGCUGAGACCCGAAAGAUGGUGAACUAUGCCUGAGCAGGAUGAAGCCAGAGGAAACUCUGGUGGAAGUCCGAAGCGGUUCUGACGUGCAAAUCGAUCGUCUGAC